GUGAAUUAUACCUGACACAUUAUCAGUUCCUCAAUAUGUUGUUACUCAAGAAAACACUAAUUUAUUGCAUUUUAUUUUUAAUUUAUUUGAUUUCCUCAAGUACGUAGUAAUUAAAGUCUUUUAAAUAAUAUUACUUUACUUUUUUGCAGGUACUGGAAAAGUAUGUGGAAGAGAAUAUGGAUGUAAUUACUUUUGCAGUUAUUUCACGGAAUAUCAUUCUUGUCCAUUAGUUAAACCACCAUGUCAUUGUUGGUAAUAGAUUAUUUUGUGCAUUAUAUUAAUCGAAGUACAUAAGUAAAAAAUUUAUUUUUGUCCAA